rnacentral:rRNA from 1 species
UUCCAGCUCCAAUAGCGUAUAUUAAAGUUGUUGCAGUUAAAAAGCUCGUAGUUGAAUUUCGGGGUUAGUAGGCUGGUCAUGCCUCCGGUAUGUACUGGUCUCACUGAUUCCUCCUUCCUGAUGAACCGUAAUGCCAUUAAUUUGGUGUUGCGGGGAAUCUGGACUGUUACUUUGAAAAAAUUAGAGUGUUUAAAGCAGGCUAACGCUUGAAUACAUUAGCAUGGAAUAAUGAAAUAGGACGUUCGAUCCUAUUUUGUUGGUUUCUAGGAUCGACGUAAUGAUUAAUAGGGAUAGUUGGGGGCAUUAGUAUUCAAUUGUCAGAGGUGAAAUUCUUGGAUUUAUUGAAGACUAACUACUGCGAAAGCAUUUGCCAAGGAUGUUUUCAUUAAUCAAGAACGAAAGUUAGGGGAUCGAAGACGAUCAGAUACCGUCGUAGUCUUAACCAUAAACUAUGCCGACUAGGGAUCGG